AGUGAACGCUGGCGGUAGGCCUAACACAUGCAAGUCGAACGGCAGCACAGUAAGAGCUUGCUCUUACGGGUGGCGAGUGGCGGACGGGUGAGGAAUACAUCGGAAUCUACUUUUUCGUGGGGGAUAACGUAGGGAAACUUACGCUAAUACCGCAUACGACCUACGGGUGAAAGCAGGGGAUCUUCGGACCUUACGCGAUUGAAUGAGCCGAUGUCGGAUUAGCUAGUUGGCGGGGUAAAGGCCCACCAUGGCGACGAUCCGUAGCUGGUCUGAGAGGAUGAUCAGCCACACUGGAACUGAGACACGGUCCAGACUCCUACGGGAGGCAGCAGUGGGGAAUAUUGGACAAUGGGCGCAAGCCUGAUCCAGCCAUACCGCGUGGGUGAAGAAGGCCUUCGGGUUGUAAAGCCCUUUUGUUGGGAAAGAAAAGCAGCAGGUUAAUACCCCGCUGUUCUGACGGUACCCAAAGAAUAAGCACCGGCUAACUUCGUG
rnacentral:rRNA from 1 species